AACGAACGCUGGCGGCAGGCUUAACACAUGCAAGUCGAACGAUCUCUUCGGAGGUAGUGGCAGACGGGUGAGUAACACGUGGGAACGUACCUUUCAGUCAGGAAUAACUCAUGGAAACGUGAGCUAAUACCCGAUACGCCCUUUUGGGGAAAGAUUUAUCGCUGAAAGAUCGACCCGCGUCUGAUUAGCUUGUUGGUGGGGUAAUGGCCUACCAAGGCGACGAUCAGUAGCUGGUCUGAGAGGAUGAUCAGCCACACUGGGACUGAGACACGGCCCAGACUCCUACGGGAGGCAGCAGUGGGGAAUAUUGGACAAUGGGCGCAAGCCUGAUCCAGCCAUGCCGCGUGAGUGAUGACGGCCUUAGGGUUGUAAAGCUCUUUCGACGGGGACGAUAAUGACGGUACCCGUAGAAGAAGCCCCGGCUAACUUCGUGCCAGCAGCCGCCGUAA
rnacentral:rRNA from 1 species